rnacentral:rRNA from 1 species
CUCCGUGAUCAUAGCAGAGAGGCCACACCCGUUCCCAUUCCGAACACGGUCGUUAAGCUCUUUUGCGCCGAUGAUACUGCACUGGUGACGGUGUGGGAAAGUAGGACAUCGCGGGGG